rnacentral:lncRNA from 1 species
UUAGCAAACGUGAGGCCAUUUUCCUUCUAGACACCCUGCCUGUCUUUGUCUUCCAAUUUGAGCUCAGCGUCCUCCCUUCCCUUUCCUCUCUGGUUUUCAAUUUUCAGAUGCUCCCACCACCCUCCCAAUCCCUGAGCUGGGCCCACCCUUCCACCCACAGCCACCUCCCCACUUCGUGGCCUCUGACUCCCUGUGCCUGGCCCUCCCUCUCUGUGCCCACAGCCCUGGCUUGGCUGUUCUCUCCCCUCACCUUUUCCCUGGUCUUCAGCACUGACCCCAGCUGGCCCUGCUCAGACUUCCUGGCUUCCCCUUAUACCCAGGGCAGUGUCCCAGCCCUUCAGCCUGGCUUCGAGACACAGUUUUGUCUGGGCCUGGGCCACAGUGCCCUGUUUGUGCUCUGUGCUUUAGCAUAGCCCACUCAGGCACUCAGCAUUCUCAGCGGGGAUACAAGUGACUGUAGGUAGUAGACAGCUGGACUUGGGGUUAAAGAGUAGAAAUGUCAUUACCUCAUCCAAAAGAAGCUCAGAAGUGUACAGAGCCUGACAAGAACCCAACUGUCCAAGCAGAUAUGUGGUCAUUAGAGUCUUGGCUUCAGCAUCUCAGAGUGAAGAAGGCUGCCCUCCUGGUGGACAUGGAGGCCCCAGAAGAGAUGCCACCUCGAAGCCUGGGAGGCCUGUCAAAUCCUCGUGAGUGGCCCUUGGUUCUAUGACUUCUG